rnacentral:rRNA from 1 species
UACAGAGGUCCCAAGCGUUGUUCGGAUUCACUGGGUUUAAAGGGUGCGUAGGCGGGCAGGUAAGUCAGUGGUGAAAUCUCCGAGCUUAACUCGGAAACUGCCGUUGAUACUAUUUGUCUUGAAUAUUGUGGAGGUAAGCGGAAUAUGUCAUGUAGCGGUGAAAUGCUUAGAUAUGACAUAGAACACCAAUUGCGAAGGCAGCUUACUACACAACGAUUGACGCUGAGGCACGAAAGCGUGGGGAUCAAACAGG